rnacentral:rRNA from 1 species
GGAGUUAGCCGGUGCUUCUUCUGCGAGUAACGUCACAGCUAGCAGGUAUUAACUACUAACCUUUCCUCCUCGCUGAAAGUGCUUUACAACCCGAAGGCCUUCUUCACACACGCGGCAUGGAUGCAUCAGGGUUUCCCCCAUUGUGCAAUAUUCCCCACUGCUGCCUCCCGUAGGAGUCUGGGCCGUGUCUCAGUCCCAGUGUGGCUGAUCAUCCUCUCAGACCAGCUAGGGAUCGUUGCCUAGGUGAGCCAUUACCUCACCUACUAGCUAAUCCCACCUGGGCUUAUCCAUCAGCGCAAGGACCGAAGUUCCCCUGCUUUCCCCCGUAGGGCGUAUGCGGUAUUAGCAGUCGUUUCCAACUGUUAUCCCCCACAAAUGGGCAAAUUCCCAGGCAUUACUCACCCGUCCGCCGCUCGUCAUCUUCAAAAGCAAGCUUUUGAAAUGUUACCGCUCGACUUGCAUGUGUUAGGCCUGCCGCCAGCGUUCAAUCUGAGCCAUAAUCAAACUCUGA